GGAAUUUUGGGCAAUGGCCGAAAGGGCUGACCCAGCAACACCGCGUGAGUGAAGAAGGCCUUCGGGUUGUAAAGCUCUGUUGCCCGUGAAGAACGGUACUUUCAGGAAAUGGGAAGUACUUGACGGUAGCGGGUGAGGAAGCUCCGGCUAACUACGUGCCAGCAGCCGCGGUAAUACGUAGGGAGCGAGCGUUGUCCGGAUUUAUUGGGCGUAAAGGGCGUGUAGGCGGCUUUUUAAGUCUGAAGUGAAACGCCAGGGCUCAACCCUGGAACUGCUUCGGAUACUGGGAAGCUUGAGUACUCUAGAGGGCAGUGGAAUUCCGGGUGUAGCAGUGAAAUGCGUAGAGAUCCGGAGGAACACCAGUGGCGAAGGCGACUGCCUGGGGAGAAACUGACGCUGAGGCGCGAAAGCUGGGGGAGCAAACGGGAUUAGAUACCCCGGUAGUCCCAGCCGUAAACGAUGAGUGCUAGGUGUAGGGGGUAUCGACCCCCCCUGUGCCGGAGUUAACGCAAUAAGCACUCCGCCUGGGGAGUACGGCCGCAAGGUUGAAACUCAAAUGAAUUGACGG
rnacentral:rRNA from 1 species